rnacentral:rRNA from 1 species
AUGAAUCUUUUUGGCAUCAAAGAUGCUCAGAUAACAUAUGCUGGGAUCGUGUCCAGUUCACCCAUCCUUGUGGUGCUACCUGUGCGCCAUAUGCCGGAGUUUGGUGCAACAUAUAUUCUACCCACAUCCAUCAGUUUCGUAUUCGGCCAGUGGCUCAAAUACCGUAGGUUCACCAGAUACAGACAAAUUGAGUGGAUAACAUCCGCCGGGAUCGUGUCUAGAUCACCCAUCCUUGUGGUGCUACUAGUGCGCCAUAUGCCGGUUAUGAAUUUUAGAAUGAUAACAUCCGUCGAGGUCGUGUCUAGAUCACCCGUCCUUGUGGUGCUACCUCUGCGCCAGAUGCCGAUUAUGAAUUUUAAAAUGAUAACAUCCGCUGGGAUCGUGUCUAGAUCACCCAUCCUUGUGGCGCUACCUGAGUUUGGUGCACCAUACAUUCUACCCACAUCCUUCAGUUUCGUAUCCGGCGAGUGGCUCAAACAGCGCAGGUUCACCGGAUACAGACAAAUUGAGUGGAUAACAUUCGCUAGGAUCGUGUCCAGUUCACCCAUCCUUGUGGUGCUACCUGUGCGCCAUAUGCCGAUAACAUCCGCCGGGAUCGUGUCUAGAUCACCCAUCCUUGUGGUGCUACCUGUGUGCCAUAUGUCGGUUAUGAAUUUUAGAAUGAUAACAUCCGCCGGGAUCGUGUCUAGAUCACCCAUCCUUGUGGUUCUACCUGUGCGCCAUAUGCCGAUAACAUCCGUCGGGGUCGUGUCUAGAUCACCCAUCCUUGUGGUGCUACCUGUGCGCCAUAUGCCGAUAACAUCCACCGGCAACGUGUCCAGUUCAUCCAUCCUUGUGGUGCUACCUGUGCGCCAGAUGUCGAUAACAUCCGCCGGCAACGUGUCUAGUUCAUCCAUCCUUGUGGUGCUACCUGUGCGCCAGAUGCCGAUAUCAUCCGCCGGCAACGUGUCUAGUUCAUCCAUCCUUGUGGUGCUACCUGUGGGUCUGAUUCUUACUGAUGGGCUAGGCCUGCUCGUGAGGCUACUGUAUUAUUACUGGCGCAGCCCCCUUCCGCGUUACGAACCCCCCCGGGGAUACCUUUCGUCGCAAAUCCAGCAGAAGAAAGAGGAGCUGUACGAUCUCAUUGCCCUCGCCAAAGCCAAUUCUGCGGCUUCCCGGGUGGACAAACUUCUGUUCAGGUCUCUCUGUAACCAAGUCGAGCCGAGACCACAUGACCCUCAAUGGCGCCACAUAAAAAGGGUUGAUAAGAUCUGCAGUUGGAUUAUGCCGACAUUUGUUUUUGUUAAUAUUGGGGCCACUCUCUGUGCCAUUGCUGGCCGUGCUGGAACAGACGGAAAUCUUUAUACCACUGAGGGUGUGCGCAGGCCAGUCGAGCUCAGCAGCCUGCGUGACGGUGUGCGCAGGCCAGUCGUGCUCCGGCGUGAGGGUGUGCAGAAGCCAAAGGACUAA